GACGAACGCUGGCGGCGUGCUUAACACAUGCCAGUCGAACGGAAAGGCCCUGCUUUUGCGGGGUGCUCGAGUGGCGAACGGGUGAGUAACACGUGAGUAACCUGCCCUUGACUUUGGGAUAACUUCAGGAAACUGGGGCUAAUACCGGAUAGGAGCUCCUGCUGCAUGGUGGGGGUUGGAAAGUUUCGGCGGUUGGGGAUGGACUCGCGGCUUAUCAGCUUGUUGGUGGGGUAGUGGCUUACCAAGGCUUUGACGGGUAGCCGGCCUGAGAGGGUGACCGGCCACAUUGGGACUGAGAUACGGCCCAGACUCCUACGGGAGGCAGCAGUGGGGAAUAUUGCACAAUGGGCGGAAGCCUGAUGCAGCAACGCCGCGUGCGGGAUGACGGCCUUCGGGUUGUAAACCGCUUUCGCCUGUGACGAAGCGUGAGUGACGGUAAUGGGUAAGGAAGCACCGGCUAACUACGUG
rnacentral:rRNA from 1 species